rnacentral:rRNA from 1 species
GACGAACGCUGGCGGCGUGCUUAACACAUGCAAGUCGAACGGUAAGGCCCUUCGGGGUACACGAGUGGCGAACGGGUGAGUAACACGUGGGUGAUCUGCCCUGCACUUCGGGAUAAGCCUGGGAAACUGGGUCUAAUACCGGAUAGGACCACUGCCUGCAUGGGUGGUGGUGGAAAGCUUUUGCGGUGUGGGAUGGGCCCGCGGCCUAUCAGCUUGUUGGUGGGGUGAUGGCCUACCAAGGCGACGCCGGGUAGCCGGCCUGAGAGGGUGACCGGCCGCGCUGGGACUGAGAUACGGCCCAGACUCCUACGGGAGGCAGCAUUGGGGAAUAUUGCACAAUGGGCGCAAGCCUGAUGCAGCGAUGCCGCGUGAGGGAUGACGGCCUUCGGGUUGUAAACCUCUUUCAGCACCGACGAAGCGCAAGUGACGGUAUGUGCAGAAGAAGGACCGGCCAACUACGUGCCAGCAGCCGCAGUAA